UUUCACAAAAGUAGUGACAUUACUUGAAAAUUCUAUCUCAAAUCCUUUUGAUUGGGUUACUUAUCCACUGGGCUUCGUCCCUUGAUCAAUUUCGAAAAGAUUAGGAGGUUAAACAUCAUCAAAUCAUCUUCCAAUCAACCCCAAAACUCAGAAAUUCUGCUAAAUCACGAAACUCCAAAAAAACCUAAAAAUUGAUUCAAAUCCCAUCAAAUCAUUUCAAUAGAGCCUGAAAAUGAC
rnacentral:lncRNA from 1 species